rnacentral:rRNA from 1 species
AACGCAGCGAAGGGCGAUAGUUAAUGUGAAUUGCAGAAUUCAGUGAAUCAUCGAGUCUUUGAACGCACAUUGCGCCUUUUGGUAUUCCGAGAGGCACGCCUGUCUGAGCGUCAGUAAUACCUUCGGUUUGACGAUUUAUUGUCUCGCCGGCGUUGGCGGUUAAGGGGUUAACCUCCUAAUUCCGUUUAAACACUGACAGCGGGGUAAGUUUAGUAACACCUAUCGAUUAGUAGAAAUAUUUAUCGUUCAAGGAAGAUCUAAACUCCCGCAAUACAAAAUAUGGGGAAACCCCACACCAAUUUUGACCCCAGAUCAGACGAGGAUACCCGCUGAACUUAA